rnacentral:rRNA from 1 species
UACGUAGGGUGCAAGCGUUGUUCCGGAAUUUAUUGGGCGUAAAGAGCUCGUAGGCGGUUUGUCGCGUCUGCUGUGAAAACCCGAGGCUCAACCUCGGGCCUGCAGUGGGUACGGGCAGACUAGAGGUGCGGUAGGGAGAUUGGAAUUCCUGGUGUAAGCGGUGGAAUGCGCAGAUAUCAGGAGGAACACCGGUGGCGAAGGCGGGUCUCUGGGCCGAUACUGACGCUGAGGAGCGAAAGCGUGGGGAGCGAAACAGG